AUGAAGCUGGAUUCGCUGUAAUCGCGCAUCAGCCACGGCGCGGUGAAUACGUUCCCGGGCCUUGUACACACCGCCCGUCAAGCCAUGGAAGCCGGGAGUGCCUGAAGUGCGUGAGCGCAAGCAGCGCCCUAAGGUAAAACCGGUGACUGGGGCUAAGUCGUAACAAGGUAGC
rnacentral:rRNA from 1 species